rnacentral:misc_RNA from 1 species
AAAAUUUGUACACCCAGCUAUAAAAUGUUCAAGCAGCUUCACAACAUAUUAUUGACACUUACCAGUCACCUGAUACCGACGCUAGGCCUGGACUGGCAUUCUUCACUAUACUUUUCUUUUUUUCUUUUUUCUUUUUUAUGCUUUUUUACAAAGGAAAACCUUAUCUCAUUAUCUCACAAACCCACAUGAGAAAAGAAAAGGAAAGAAAAAAGAUAAAAAGGGAA